AAUUCACGCUUACGUAGUUACAGUUCUAAGUUGCACAACUAGGAUUCAAUUAUGCAAUCGGCAGGCGGGACUAGCUUUAAGGCUCGCUGCAUGUGCCAGGAAGCGAAUCGUGGGAGUUUUGAGUGCCAGCGAGGACCGCUGAGCGUAGAAAAUAGACCUAAAUGCGGAAAUGGACAGCUGUUUAUUAGGUUUGCAAGUCCUCUGCGAAAAAAUCGGAGCAGACUGGUGCAGUGUGAGUCAUUGUUUUCAAAAUAGCUUUAAGUGCUACUCAUUCAGACCACGUCUGCUGCCUCACAAGUUCGAGUAGCGUGCAUCUUAAUGUGAUCGGUCAUUCAAUCCUCUAAUGAGAAUGAACAUUCUUGAAAGAAGACCAGUGGCUUCUGGGGCUCGAACGGUGGCUUGUAAUCUAAACACUGAGGAUGACAGCCCCCCCACCCCGCUUGGGUGAGCAGCAGCAAGAUGGACAUGUGCUCGCUAGCUACGGUGAUCGGACAGCCUAAAUCUAGACAGCAGGGGAGAGAGAGCUCCUUUCAUUUCAUUCCGACAUGCAGCGAGCCACGCUGCAGCUCACUCGAGGUCCCUCCCUCUUUGCGUCUUUCCUCCACCUCCUGUCCGCGUCUCGCUUCUCUGCCUUUACUCGCCUCCAAACACACAAGCAUUCCAUGUGGUCUGCGUUGCCCUGAAGUUGCAACUU